rnacentral:misc_RNA from 1 species
GAUGAAGAACGCAGCGAAAUGCGAUAAGUAAUGUGAAUUGCAGAAUUCAGUGAAUCAUCGAAUGUUUGAACGCACAUUGCGCCCCCUGGUAUUCCGGGGGGCAUGCCUGUCCGAGCGUCAUUACAACCCUCAAGCUCAGCUUGGUGUUGGGCCCCGCCGCCCCGGCGGGCCCUAAAGUCAGUGGCGGUGCCGUCCGGCUCCGAGCGUAGUAAUUCUUCUCCCUCUGGAGGUCCGGUCGUGUGCUCGCCAGCAACCCCCAAUUUUUUUCAGGUUGACCUCGGAUCAGGUAGGGAUACCCGCUGAACUUAAGCAUAUCAAUAAGCGGAGGA